rnacentral:antisense_RNA from 1 species
GUUCCCCGCAGGGGCCCGGGGCGCCCUGAAACGGGGUCCACGUCAGCCCGCUCCCGAGCGUGUCCUCAGGUCUAAGGACGGCGCUGUGAACAAUGGAGCCAUCAAAAAGGCCUUCUCCCAGCCUCCUCACCAACCACGGACAUUCCUGGCCCAACAAGCCCUCCUGGCCAGGUUUUGAGCCCUGCUUCCCAGAUCUGGGGACCCUUCACCUGCCUCUACUACUGCAAAUGAUUGGAUAUUCGUCUGCCUUGGCUCUUCCCUAAUGUGUGGAACUAAUUUUGUUCACUCUGUUUCAUGCUGGACCUGGCCUGAAAAUGGGCCCUUAUAUUGUCUUUGCACUUUCCAACUUGCCAAGUUUCUGAAAGAAGGACCAAAGUAAUGCCAAGAACUCCCAGAUGAAGAGGACCUUCCUUAGACCUAUAACAGAUUCACUACUUGACUUUAGAGGGAAGUUUCAGCUAAUUCUCAGGAAAAGGUCAAAACAGGCCUGUGACUGUCCCUUGAAUACUGAAGGUAUAAACAAGCUUCUGGCUCCUCCAGGUCAAGCAGAGGAACACUUUUAUUAGAAUGAAGGGU